rnacentral:sRNA from 1 species
UUUAUAUACCUGAUUAUCUUAACUAAACUCAAUUUUUUGCAACCAAACCAGAUAAAUAAGAACACUAUAAAAUUAAGAUGUUAAUUACACAGACAAUAAUUUUAUUUAUUUAUAAAGUUUAUUUUUGUAACAGCUCUGAUACUUAUUGAUUUUGCACCUUCUUUGAUGGUGGUGGCGAAUCAUACACUCAUCAGCGACCAUGAUAUGUAAUCCAUCAACGAGUUCUCUCUGAAUCUUCUCGCCUGGAACCAGUUUUCCAGAGCAUAAACAUAAGCCUUAGAACAAAACAAACAUCUACUAUCCCCUGAACUACUAAUGAUAGAGUAAUCAAUGUAAACUCUUUUCCUAUUGUAGAAUUUACCAUUAGACAAAUUAUUAUGCAUGUUGUUAGCAUCUCUACUCUUGAAAAAUCUUCGUAAGCUGAUUGGAAAAUCAAAGAAUAACAAACUAACUAACUAACAAUCACUACUCUAUAAGCAAAUCUUGAAUACCAAUAGAGAUUCUUUAUGUUGGAUUCUAUCUUUGAGCAUUUCAUUAGGAUCGACGGUUGGUCGAUUAAUCAAUACUAACCCAAACAGUCUUUUAACAUGCACACUUGAUACCUUGUAGGUGCUUCUGGGUAGCAUGAAAAUGAUAAUUGGUGUUAUUCUGAUAUGCGAAAUUGAAAAUGUUGUUGUGCAUCAGCUAAGCAUAAUUGAAAGUUUAAAAAA